GUUUACUUUGAAAANAUUAGAGUGCUCAAAGCAGGCGCAACGCCUGAAUAAUGGUGCAUGGAAUAAUGGAAUAGGACCUCGGUNCUMUUUUGUUGGUUUUCGGAACANGAGGUAAUGAUUAAGAGGGACAGACGGGGGCAUUCGUAUUGCGACGCUAGAGGUGAAAUUCUUGGACCGUCGCAAGACGAACUACUGCGAAAGCAUUUGCCAAGAAUGUUUUCAUUAAUCAAGAACGAAAGUUAGAGGUUCGAAGGCGAUCAGAUACCGCCCUAGUUCUAACCAUAAACGAUGCCAACCAACGAUCCGCCUNAGUUCCUNAAACGACUCGGCNNNCAGCUNCCGGGAAACCAAAGUCUUUG
rnacentral:rRNA from 1 species